UAGGGAAUCUUCCGCAAUGGACGCAAGUCUGACGGAGCAACGCCGCGUGAGUGAAGAAGGAUUUCGGUUCGUAAAACUCUGUUGUUAGAGAAGAACAGCGCAUAGAGUAACUGUUAUGCGUGUGACGGUAUCUAACUAGAAAGCCACGGCUAACUACGUGCCAGCAGCCGCGGUAAUACGGAGGUGUCAAGCGUUUUCCGGAUUUAUUGGGCGUAAAGCGAGCGCAGGCGGUCAAUUAAGUCUGAUGUGAAAGCCCCCGGCUCAACCGGGGAGGGUCAUUGGAAACAGGUUCACUUAAGUGCAGAAGAGGAGAGAGGAAUUCCAUGUGUAGCGGUGAAAUGAGUAGAUAUAUAGAGAAACACCAGUGGCGAAGACAACUCUCUGGACUGUAACAGACGCUGAGGCUCGAAAGCGUGGGUAGCAAACAGG
rnacentral:rRNA from 1 species